UACGAAGGGGGCUAGCGUUGCUCGGAAUCACUGGGCGUAAAGCGCACGUAGGCGGAUUGUUAAGUCAGGGGUGAAAUCCUGGAGCUCAACUCCAGAACUGCCUUUAUACUGGCGAUCUUGAGUCCGGGAGAGGUGAGUGGAACUGCGAGUGUAGAGGUGAAAUUCGUAGAUAUUCGCAAGAACACCAGUGGCGAAGGCGGACUCACUGGCCCGGUACUGACGCUGAGGUGCGAAAGCGUGGG
rnacentral:rRNA from 1 species